UUUUGACCUCGGAUCAGGUAGGGAUACCCGCUGAACUUAAGCAUAUCAU
rnacentral:rRNA from 3 species